GGUCACGAGUACCAGCAUCAAGCCCCGGCUAGCUGGUCGGCAACCCUCCUCCGCGGUGGGGUGCUCCGGGUGACGACCAGGCUGAUGCCGGAAAACCGGCGCGGCAAGCGCGGACU
rnacentral:ncRNA from 2 species